ACAAGGAGCAAGGCCAUGGCAGCAGAGUAUCAGCGCGGGGUGUAGGUGCCCAGCAUUGUGUGCCACCUGCUUCAGGCCCAUUGCACGAAGCGUCAGCCGAUUCUCCAUCAGUCCCACUGGGAACUUGCAAAGCUACUGCAAAGUUUUCCAUACUUUGUAGUACCCAGCUUCAGAGUUUGUCAGGACCAAAGCAGCUGUGCGAAUGCAUCGUCGUUCCUGAUUAGGCACUUCUGAUGUCGGAAGCACAUUCAGACUCCUAAUCUGAAGAAACUCAGAUACAUAUGCACACAUAUACACUUAUUCCCAUUCAGCUGUGUGUACACGCGGGGAAUAUCACCUUGUUGUGUCAGCAAGGUCCUGGACUUCUUCAUCUGUCCAAGAAGAGAACAGCAAAGCUGAGCAAGGUCAGAGAACUGAACCGUCCAAGGAAGGUCCUUGCAGUUCUGCAGAGACACAGAUGAAGCUGGACCAAUGAGCAAGGCAGUCGCUCUGGAGAUUCACAUUGAAGACCCAGGAAGAUGUGGCUUCUCCAGGGCAGACAUGCAUACAAGCAUGUCUGAAAACCAAUAGAAGACCAGAGGGAUCAUAAAGAUGACUUUUCCAACGGCGUUACAGACGCAAUACUGGAGUUUUCAUAGGUGCAUUAGACUGUGGAAGACUUCCUGGCCCAGAUUCCAGCUCCCGCCACCUCCAGUUCUGCUGCUGAGAGCUCCCAACCUCGGUCCCAGUGACAGGUUUAGAUCCACUGUGGCUACCUUGCUCGUGGUCUGGGCCACCAAACUCAGGUACGUAGGGGUUCUUAAAGGAUGGAAAAGUGUGAGAGGGAGGCUGGGAGAAACCUCUAUGGGAAGGAAGUCACCCAAUGGUAGGCACCACCCACUGGUUAGUGGGGAUGGUCGUCAGCCUGGGAGCAGGUUAUAGUCUUGACAGGAAUGGGUUAAUUGAGUGUUUGAUGUUAAAGGCUUCUGUUGGU